UAUAUCACUUUACAAAAUUUGAAUCUGUUGGAUUAAAGGUAUUAAUUAAAGAUUUAUCGACACUAUUGGUUUUGAAUAUUAAAUUUAAUCUUUAUCAGGAACUAUGGAUAAAAGCAGGAACAGGGGCUACAAAACGAGACAUCGCAAUACAUAUUAUGGCAUUGCGUUGUGGCACAGAAACCUGUUUGGUACUUCCUGCACUUUACCACUUGACUGGAGCGGAUUAUACGAGCAAAGUUGGCACAAAACGUGCUGCUUUUCAAGCCGAACCAGAAAUGUAUCUUUUGAACUUUGCACAAGGUUUAACCAGAAGUGAAAUUGAAAGCUCUGUUCGGCUUGCAGAAGAGUUUUUGGUAAAAGUAUACCGCAAGGACAGUUCAUGUAAAAAUUUUAAUAAACUGAGAUAUUGGAUUUACCAUCACCAAAAAAAUGUUUCUUUAGAAAAGUUACCCCCAACUAGUGCAAAUAUUAGAUUUCAUAUUUUAAGAGCUUUUUUUAUUGUUUAUAAUCAAAACUUUUGUUUAAAUACAUUGGAACAUACCACUUUGCUUGAUCCACUUUGUUUUGGAUAGAAGAUCGAGAAUGGUUGCCUCUUACCAAAAUCAGUAACUAACCUUUUUCCCCCGAGUGACGAUCUUUUACCAAGCUGCAAUUGCACGAAAUGUUCGCGGCAAAAUAGUUGCCGUUGUAGGGCUGCUGGGUUAGAGUGUUGUUCAUUUUGUUAUUGUAAAGGAGGAAUAAACCAGUGUAAAAAUCCGUACAAUAAAUAAAUAAAGGUAAAAAGUAUAUUGUGUUCAAAUUA